rnacentral:lncRNA from 1 species
CCCAUCCUGGGUAAACACGCUUUUCCAUUGCUGAGGUGUAAGGACAUGUUUUCUUUUCCUGCGUGACCAUGGUGAUUUAAGACGACCCCUGAAAUUUUGCCAAAAGUAAUUAUUCAAUAUUACCGCUUAGUUCCACUAUGUUUUAAGAAGGUCUGUGUGAAUUAUUGGCCAUGCAUGUGUGAGUAGUAUUGUGUUUCCUCAUGAGCCUCAUGUUUUCCAUGGCAAAUUAAUCAAAUUACAACAAGAGGCACGUAGAGAAAAUUGGAAGUGGGGUUUGGUUAAUUUGUGUCAUUGUUAAAGAGAAAGAAGAAAGGGAAUCACAUAUUUAUAAGUACAAAACAAUAACAAAUAAAAAGGGAAAUUUA